rnacentral:rRNA from 1 species
GAGUUUGAUCCUGGCUCAGAAUCAACGCUGGCGGCGUGCCUAACACAUGCAAGUCGAACGAGAAAGUCCCCGCAAGGGGAUGAGUACAGUGGCGCACGGGUGAGUAACACGUGACUAACCUACCUUGGAGUGGGGGAUAACCUCGGGAAACCGGGGCUAAUACCGCAUAACAUCUGGAGGACGAAAUACCCCCGGAUCAAAGGAGCAAUUCGCUCUUAGAGGGGGUCGCGGCCGAUUAGUUAGUUGGCGGGGUAACGGCCCACCAAGACUGUGAUCGGUAGCCGGCCUGAGAGGGCGCACGGCCACACUGGAACUGAAACACGGUCCAGACUCCUACGGGAGGCAGCAGUGGGGAAUUUUGCGCAAUGGGGGAAACCCUGACGCAGCAACCCCGCCGUGGAGGAUGAAGUCCCUUGGGACGUAAACUCCUUUCGACCGGGACGAUGAUGACGGUACCGGAAGAAGAAGCCCCGGCUAACUUUCGUGCCAGCACCGCGGUAAUACGAGGGGGGCGAGCGUUGUUCGGAAUUAUUGGGCGUAAAGGGCGCGUAGGCGGUGCGGUAAGUCACCUGUGAAACCUCCGGGCUCAACUCGGGGCCUGCAGGCGAAACUGCCGUGCUGGAGUGUGGGAGAGGUGAGUGGAAUUCCCGGUGUAGCGGUGAAAUGCGUAGAUAUCGGGAGGAACACCUGUGGCGAAAGCGGCUCACUGGACCACAACUGACGCUGAGGCGCCGAAAAGCUAAGGGGAGCAAACAGGAUUAGAUACCCCUGGGUAGUCCUAAGCCCUAAACUAUGGAUGCUUUGGUGUAGCCGGGUACCCAAUCCCGCUGUGCCGCAGCUAACGCCNUUAAGCAUCCCGCCUGGGGGAGUACCCGUCGCAAGGCUGAAACUCAAAGGAAUUGUCGGGGGCCCGCACAAGCGGUGGAGCAUGUGGUUCAAUUCGACGCAACCGGAAAAACCCUUACUUGGGCUUGAAAGCCCAGUGGACCGGGGGUGAAAACAUCCCUUUUUCGCAAAAAAUUGUUGCGGAGGUUCUUGCAAUGCUGUGUCAGCUCGUGUCGUGAGAUGUUGGGUUAAGUCCCGGCAACGAGGGCAACCCUUUAUCCCUAGUUGCCAUCAGGUUAUGCUGGCCACUCUAGUGAAACCGCCCCGGGAUAACGGGGAGGAAGGUGGGGAUGACGUCAAGUCCUCAUGGCCUUUAUGUCCAGGGCUACACACGUGCUACAAUGGUCGGGUACAAAACGUCGCAAACCCGCGAGGGGGAGCUAAUCGGAAAAAGCCGACCCCAGUUCGGAUUGGAGUCUGCAACCC